CCUACGGGAGGCUGCAGUGGGGAAUAUUGCACAAUGGGGGAAACCCUGAUGCAGCGACGCCGCGUGAGUGAAGAAGUAUUUCGGUAUGUAAAGCUCUAUCAGCAGGGAAGAAAAUGACGGUACCUGAUUAAGAAGCCCCGGCUAACUACGUGCCAGCAGCUGCGGUAAUACGUAGGGGGCAAGCGUUAUCCGGAUUUACUGGGUGUAAAGGGAGCGUAGACGGCAGCACAAGUCUGGAGUGAAAUGCCGGGGCUUAACCCCGGAACUGCUUUGGAAACUGUGCAGCUGGAGUGCAGGAGAGGUAAGUGGAAUUCCUAGUGUAGCGGUGAAAUGCGUAGAUAUUAGGAGGAACACCAGUGGCGAAGGCGGCUUACUGGACUGUAACUGACGUUGAGGCUCGAAAGCGUGGGGAGCAAACAGGAUUAGAUACCCCUGUAGUC
rnacentral:rRNA from 1 species